ACUUUUGUAUAGUUACCACAUCCGGGUCUUUUGCGUCCUUAGCUACCAGUCCAAAAAUAAAAAACAUUACCACGCCUGCCUCAUCAACUGCUAUGCUAUCAGAGCGUCAAGGGCAAGGCAUCGAUGGACAUUACGAGAGGCAGUUAGAUUAAAUCUCCCGCCCGGCAUCCAGCGAGAGUUCUCGGUAGCCAUGUGUCAACUGUGUCACUGCCUGAAGUCGGGAGAGUUUGUCACCCCAGCCCAACGUCACUGGUGGUCCUGAGCGAGGAUGUCCCCAACAAUAAGCAGUUCACUCGAUUGGAGAUGUAUCUGAUGAGGAGAACGAAGAUCCAGAAGGACAUUAAGAAAAUUAAAGUACUUGACAAAAUCCUGGCUUCAAGGAUCUGAAAUGAAAAAGGGAAGGAGUUCCAUCAAACUAUGGAAGGAACUAUUGCAGCUAAAACCCAACAUAUAUUCAGAAUGUGCAGAUUAAGCAGAAAAUACAAGGAUGUUUUUGGCCCUGGCUCCUUCCAGUAUUCAUGGAUCCAGUGAAGAAGUGGACUUUGUUCCUGUGUUUGUGACUCAAGUGCCUGACAAAGAGUAUGAGACACAACACAAGUGGAGGAAAGUGAAUUUGUUUAAAUAUGCUGGAACACAAUUAUAGAUGGUAACACUUUACAUAAUUAAUUUGCUCAUAACCCACUGUUCCUCGGGCGCUGAAGACGUUGAUGUCGAUUAAGGCAGCCCCCGUACCUCUCUGAUUCAGAGGGGCUGGGUUAAAUGCGGAAGACACAUUUCAGUUGAAUGCAUUCAGUUGUACAACUGACUAGGUAUCUCCCUUUCCUAUGUAGGCCAAUAUACACUAACUACUCCUGUAACAAUGUUAGUCUUACAAUGCAGUUGUAUUAUUCUACACUAGAUGGCAAUAUAACCCUAGGAAACAAUGUAACUGCUUUGUACUUUCACUGUGUAUUCAGUUUUUUCUUGGUUCUUUGAUUUCUGAAAACACCACAUAGGCAACCUGUUUCCCAUUAAACUGUCCAUGAACAACUUCCCCAUAUUCUUUUGAAUUUGCUGUUUGGUGGAUGACAUGUCACUUAAAGUCAUAGUUAGAGAGUCAUGAACAUUGUCCAGUGGGCUCUUUUUCAAAUUGCAUGUAUUUCAGUGGUCAAGAAAAAAACAUGCAUCAGGUUUAAUUGAUAUAUGCAAAUUCUGAAUUAUUGCUUAGAUUGUUGACAAUGUCUCUCCUAAACAUCUCAGGAUGAUACUAGACAGAGCUCGCUAAUGGUUCUUAAACUCUGAGUUUAGGCUCCUGUAUGCCAUGUUUACCUGCUGGAAUCCAAACAAUGCAUGAACUCAACUCCCACACAGCAGCAGACUUGGCUGAAGUGGGUCACGAAGAGAGGGCAGAUGAGUCACAAGGCAGCCAGUCCAAUUCCCAGGGACAAAAAGAAACAAGACUUUGUGAAGAAAAACAUUGAGAGAUUGGACAUUGGUGAGCAAUAUGCUAGGAAGCGGUGGAUGGUGUGCUCGCCUUCUGAGUCUGACCGGUAGGCCGCUCCGUCUGCCUCUUCUGCGGCGACCGCGUUGUUUUGGGUCG